CAGCCGUAAACUAUGCGCGUUAGGUGUAUCGGUGACCACGAGUUACCGAGGUGCCGAAGGGAAACCGUGAAACGUGCCGCCUGGGAAGUACGGUCGCAAGGCUGAAACUUAAAGGAAUUGGCGGGGGAGGCACCACAACAGGUGGAGCCUGCGGGUUUAAUUGGACUCAACGCCGGGAAGCUCACCGGAUAGGACAGCAGAAUGAUUGCCGGGCUGAAGACUCUGCAUGACUAGCUGAGAGGAGGUGCAUGGCGUAGACGUCU
rnacentral:rRNA from 1 species